CAGCCCAGGAGAAGGACAGUGACCUGGGCAGGUGGCAGGAGGAAGAGAUGCAGCGUGUUUGGGAACUGUCGUCCUCGGAAGGCCCGCAUUGAAGACUGCCUGCGUCUUGCUGGAUGUGGCCACGUGACCUGCUUUGGCCCAUGACCAUAAGCAGCAAUGUCGGAACCUUUGUCCAGGAAACCUCCUAACACUGGAGUCUAUCGUUUCGUCAACCUUGGACAAUGCUCGCGGCUGGCUAGUAGACUGUCCCAACUCCAUUUAUGAAGCCAUCACUGCCAGGCCUGUUAUUGGAAAUCCCGGGGACGGUUAAUGCAGGCAGCAUCUGUAUCACAUGCAUCGUGAGGAAGCUGAACGAAGCAAAACCCAACCAAAAGGAGGAGCCCUCUGAGGAGGCACGGAAGAGUGGCCAUGAAGUGCACGCUUGGUCUCAGAGAAGGAGGGCUUACGGGGUCCACUAGGACACAAAAAUCCAAGGAAGAUCCCAGUGCACUGGAGGACAGAAGCCCCAACACUCUGCCUGUGUGUUUGUCCACUGCAACACACAGCUGGGCCUCCUGGUCACUUCCUGGUUGAUACCACCUUUAUCAGUGUUUCCACUGCAGCCAGACUGGAGGUGGGGUAGUCAGUGCUGGACUGUCUCUGUGCCAAGUGUAUACUCUCAACAACUGAUUGCAUGACGGCGGAAACAGAGAAAUUGGGGCAGAAGUACAGAGUGGCUUUAAGGGUCUCUGAGGAGCCAUGGUCUGAACCAUUACCAUGUACACACAGAGGAGCCCCUGCAGAUGACUGCUGAGUACCAAGAGCAGUUGGCACAAGUGCCACAUUGUAGCCACCACUGACCAUAAUCUUAGCAGAAGAAACCUGAAAAUCCCCAGAAUUCCCAUCAUGUACAUUUUUGUUUAAUUUUUACAAUUUGUUCUAAUUAUACAUGACAGUAGAAUGCAUUUACGCAUUUUGAUAAAUCAUACAUAAGUGGAGGAUGAUUUCUCCUUUUUUGAUUGUACAUACUGUAGGAUCACACUGGCCAUGCAGCCAUGUAUGUACAUGAGGUAAGAAAGUGAAAAUAAAAGUGAAAACCAGCAAAGGGAGGAGCUACACUAAAGGAAUAGUCAACCAAUGGAGAAGCUACACCAAUUAAGAACCAGAAAUAAACCAAAAUGAUGGGGAAUACAAAUCAUAUCUCAAUAAUAACCUUGAAUGCUAAUGGUCUGAACUCAUGAGUGGAGUUACAUGUCUAACCAUGGCUACAACUCGGAGCGGCUGCCUGAUGAUUGUGGAGACCUUAGUUCUGAUUCUUAGAAGACAAAGUUGUUCUGCCUUCCUUCCACCAACUCUCUCUGUUGCCAGAAAUGGCUGGAAGAACUGCCCGGUGAACACUCAUCUAUGUCUUCAUCUGGAUCCAUCAAUUGUCACACUGCACCACAUUUUUAUCUAUCAACAUUUUUUUGUGAAUCAUUAUGGAGCCUAAAUUGCAGACACCAUUAUCCCUUCCUCUCUAAAUACUUAAGCAGGGAUAACUCCAACACAAGAGUAUUUUAUUUCUUAACUGCAAUAUCAAAUUCAAGCAGUCUAAUGCUCUCAUGUUAAUAUCACAUAUGAUAUAAAAUGGACCCGUUGUGUCACUGCCCUCAGAUGUCUCCAUAAUGACAUUUUCCCCUAAUAUGGGAUCUCACCUUGCCCUUUAGUUGUACAUCUCUAGAGUCUUCUUAAAUCCGAAAUAGGUUUUUGGCCUUUCCCCCUUUUUUUACAUGAUAUCAACAUUUUUUAAAAAAAUAUGGACUGUUCAUGUUGUAGAAGGUAUGAAAACACCUCUACUUGGGUUAUUUGUUGAAACAGUCAUAGUCCCUUCCCUGUUGCUAUAACAGAACGCCAGAGGCUGGGUAAUUUAUGAA